GACCUGGCGGUGGAAGGCAUCACACUUGUAUCUCAUGAGUCGAUUGUGGAAGGAUUCAAUAGGAGUCGUCGGUUCGAAUCCGACCCAGGUCU